UGUAGUUUCCUAUCAGACAGAUUAAACCGACUCCUCCAAAGAAAUUCCCAGUAAAACUUCAUAAAUGGACAUAUUUUGAAGAAGAUAAAGCAUUCAUUGAAUUCAUAUCUGUUGCAGACAAUCAUGCAAAUGAUUAUGAUUGAAGAGGCUUACCAAUUAUGUAAUAUCUCUAGAGCAAAAGCACACCUUUCAUACACUUCAUCAUAUACCAUUCAUGUGUACUGGUGAAAUCAAUGUGAUGCAACAUUUUAAAAACUUCUCUUUACUUUUGCGCAUAAAAUUUUAUUUUUAAAAACAUUUUAAUUAUCUUUAAGUACAGUAAUAUUAUGUUAAUAUUUUUUUGAUUUAAAAUAAAUCAAUUUUAUCAACAUCAAUUAUGUAGUGUGUGAUCUUUUUAUUAAUUUGUGAUGAGCAAGGGAACACUACACUGAAAACCAUACAUACUGUGAACCUCCGAA